rnacentral:lncRNA from 1 species
GGCUUUUUUGUGUGCUUGUUGUCAACAGGAUGACUCUGAUCAAUACUACUGCAGAAGAAGAAAGAAAAACCCCUUAAGUAAGCUUUCUAAAGCUCGCCUGUAUUCCUAAUUACACACAGCUUUCCUUGCAGUUCAUACCUAGCCUGCCAGUUCCUGGUGACCAAAAUGUACCUAUCAUUCAAGCACAUAUCCCCUCCCAGAACAGCUCAGAAGGCUCUUGGGAUGCUGCUUUGAAGAAUCUGCAUGAUUUUUGAAGUUUUCCAUCAACAUCACCCUGUAGGUAACCCACCCUUUCCAAUAAGUUGGUCAGAAGCAGAUCAGGUCUGUAAGUAGAAGAAGCUGCAUGAAAGACAUGCAUGUUUCACUGGGAUACAUAGCACUUUCCUGUGCAGAGUAGCUGUGCAAUGAGCCAGGCUUUCAAAAGUGAAGUUAAAAAAGCAAGUAACACUUUGGGGGACAGGGUGGGACAUUUUUCUUAAGAGCAUU